CAGGAGGCCCCGUCAUGGAUGGGCGCUUUGAAAAACGCUCCCUUGAAAUAAUAUGCUUGCUCUCGGGCGGCGCUUCCUUUUUCUACCACUUAGGGGUGCUGUUGAUCUGUUUUUCCAAAUCUCUCCCUCCUGUGCUGAGCUCGUCACACACAGUCCAGCUGCCAGAGCGGCUCAAGGCUGAGGGGUCCACUGAGGCGCCGUGGCAACACUUAAUGUCUCCAACCCUGUCUCGCCUCAGGGCGUCCUCCAUAAAACACACAAAAACACGCGCACACGCAAAAUGUGCACGUCUGCCUAUGUCAGGACCGCCCCGCCCAUCACUGCCGUCAACUCGUCUGGCACAAGUGGGCCGAUCGGCUCCGACUGCGUUUCAAAGUUUCUUCUUCGAUGUCUCCUAAGGGCAGGCCGACACCAGUGGGGGGGUCCGACGCGCCAGGGCUCGUUUUGAUGUGGUGCCGGGCCGCGCCUGACGUGCCAGGAGCCGGCCGGGCCCUCGGGAGGGGCUGUCGGCUCCCUGCCCCAGACACGUCGCACGUUCAACAACAACAUCAGCCGCCGUAGUGCCCCUCCGCCCCUGGUAGCCUAACACCUCGUUCGAACCCGCCGCGCACAUCCUGCGACCGCUGCGGGAAAACAACAAAUCAAAGCCAGCACACACGCGCGCUGUGUUGCACUGUGUUUGUGUGUGUGUGUGUGUACAGUUAAUACAUCUUUGUGCAGCUGUUUGUGCACGUGUGUGUUCCAAUGCAUCAGUGUGUGUAUCUGCAUGUAUGUGAUUGUUUGUGCUGUUCUUUUUGGUACACGCGUAAAUGCUUGUGUGUCUACUGCACAAAUGUGAAAAAUGUGUUUGUGUGUUUGUAUUCAAAACGUGUCUUUACGUGUGUGUGACAUGCAUCAGGAGACCUAUGUUUGUGUGUCUGUAAAAUGCGAGUGUGUGUGUAAAGGCAUCUGUACGCAGGUGAUUGCGUGUGAGUUAGCAUCUAAAAUGUGUUUUUGUAUGUGUGUUUGCAUCCAUGUAAAAUGUGUUUGUGUAUUCGGGCCGGGCAUUGUUAAGACCCACACGAUUCGAUUCGAUUCGAUUUUGAUGCGGUAGGGUUGCAAUUGGAUUCCAUAUUGAUUUUAAUGUUCCGACAUUGAUUCAGUAAGAAGUAGGAAUACACAAAGGAUGAAGAGUAGAUGUUGACAAGUUUGAAAAGAUUUGUUUUUGAUGCCGUGUAAAAAUAUGUCGUAUGUCACAUCACAUAUUUAAAGCAAUAAAUCAU